rnacentral:rRNA from 1 species
AGUCGAUAAGAGGCGUUUAAUCCAAGAUGUCCGAAUGGGGAAACCCAGUAGGUGAAGAACCUACUAUCACCCAGUGAAUACAUAGCUGUGUGAGGCAAACCGGGAGAACUGAAACAUCUAAGUACCCCGAGGAAAAGAAAUCAACCGAGAUUUCGUUAGUAGCGGCGAGCGAACGCGAAAGAGCCAGUUAGUGAUAGCAGUAAAGUUAGGGGAAUGUUCUGGGAAGGACAAUCGUAGAGGGUGAUAAUCCCGUACCUUAAAACUCCAUUGUGGUACUAGGCUAACAACAAGUAGGGCGGGACACGUGAUAUCCUGUUUGAAGAUGGGGGGACCAUCCUCCAAGGCUAAAUACUCCUGAUUGACCGAUAGUGAACCAGUACUGUGAAGGAAAGGUGAAAAGAACCCCGGCGAGGGGAGUGAAAUAGAACCUGAAACCUUGUGCGUACAAGCAGUGGGAGCAAGAGUAAUCUUGUGACUGCGUACCUUUUGUAUAAUGGGUCAGCGACUUAUAUUUUGUAGCAAGGUUAACUGAAUAAGGGAGCCGUAGGGAAACCGAGUCUUAACUGGGCGUGUAGUUGCAAGGUAUAGACCCGAAACCCGGUGAUCUAGCCAUGGGCAGGUUGAAGGUUGGGUAACACUAACUGGAGGACCGAACCGACUAAUGUUGAAAAAUUAGCGGAUGACUUGUGGCUGGGGGUGAAAGGCCAAUCAAACCGGGAGAUAGCUGGUUCUCCCCGAAAUCUAUUUAGGUAGAGCCUUGAGCGGACACCUUCGGGGGUAGAGCACUGUUUCGGCUAGGGGUCCAUCCCGGAUUACCAACCCGAUGCAAACUGCGAAUACCGAAGAGUGAUACUCAGGAGACACACGGUGGGUGCUAACGUCCAUCGUGGAGAGGGAAACAACCCAGACCGCCAGCUAAGGUCCCAAAGUCUAUAUUAAGUGGGAAACGAAGUGGGAAGGCUUAGACAGCUAGGAUGUUGGCUUAGAAGCAGCCACCAUUUAAAGAAAGCGUAAUAGCUCACUAGUCGAGUCGGCCUGCGCGGAAGAUGUAACGGGGCUCAAAUAUAGCACCGAAGCUGCGGCAUCAGACGAAAGUCUGUUGGGUAGGGGAGCGUUGUGUAAGUCGAUGAAGGUGGAUUGAGAAGUCUGCUGGAGAUAUCACAAGUGCGAAUGCUGACAUAAGUAACGAUAAAACGAGUGAAAAACUCGUUCGCCGGAAGACCAAGGGUUCCUGUCCAACGUUAAUCGGGGCAGGGUGAGUCGGCCCCUAAGGCGAGGCUGAAAAGCGUAGUCGAUGGGAAACGGGUUAAUAUUCCCGUACUUGUAAUAACUGCGAUGUGGGGACGGAGAAGGUUAGGUUAGCAGACUGUUGGAUGUCUGUUUAAGCCGGUAGGUGGGAAGAUUAGGCAAAUCCGGUCUUCCUUAACACCGAGAAGUGAUGACGAGUCUCUACGGAGAUGAAGUAAUCGAUACCACGCUUCCAGGAAAAGCCACUAAGCUUCAGGUUAUUAUAAACCGUACUAUAAACCGACACAGGUGGUCAGGUAGAGAAUACUCAGGCGCUUGAGAGAACUCGGGUGAAGGAACUAGGCAAAAUAGCAC